GAGACUCUGUGCGCGUGCAUAUCAAUAAGCGGAGGAAAAGAAACUAACAAGGAUUCCCCUAGUAACGGCGAGUGAAGCGGGAAGAGCUCAAAUUUGAAAUCUUAAAGGUUUCUACCUUGACGAAUUGUAGUUUAAUAGAAGUGUUUUCUGUUAGGAGUUCGGUAAAAGUUCUUUGGAAUAGGACAUCAUAGAGGGUGAGAAUCCCGUAUUUGACCGUUACUUUCUCAGCUGUGUGAUACACUUUCAAAGAGUCGGAUUGUUUGGGAAUGCAGUCCAAAAUGGGUGGUAAAUUUCAUCUAAAGCUAAAUAUUGGCGAGAGACCGAUAGCGAACAAGUACCGUGAGGGAAAGAUGAAAGGAGCUUUGAAAAGAGAGUUAAACAGUACGUGAAAUUGUCAAAAGGGAAGCGUUUGACACCAGUGUUGUUUAGUUGAAAAUCAAUUCAAUAAUUUUUGAUUUUAAGUAGUAUUGACUUCAUCAGCUUGCUGCUUUCUUUUCAGGAAUUAUUGAAUGCACUUUUCAGUUAACAAGUCAACAUCAAUUUCUUUUGUUGUAAAAGGGUAAGAGGAAGGUGGCUUACGCUUCGGCGUAAGUGUUUAUAGCCUUUUACCUCUGCAAUCGGAGAGAUUGAGGACAGCAGCGUAGACUCUUCGGGGUUAGAUACACUUGUGCUAAGCUAUAGCCUUGUAUAGACAACUUGUUGACUAUGCUCAGUCAUGUAGCUUACUCGCUUGUGCUAUUUUACCUACGCUUAGGAUGUUGACAGCAGUAUAGACUGU
rnacentral:rRNA from 1 species